rnacentral:rRNA from 1 species
AUUGAACGCUGGCGGCAGGCCUAACACAUGCAAGUCGAGCGAGGUUUUCGGACCUAGCGGCGGACGGGUGAGUAAUGCGUAGGAAGCUGCCCGAUAGAGGGGGAUACCAGUUGGAAACGACUGUUAAUACCGCAUAAUGUCUACGGACCAAAGUGUGGGACCUUCGGGCCACAUGCUAUCGGAUGCGCCUACGUGGGAUUAGCUAGUUGGUGGGGUAAUGGCUCACCAAGGCGACGAUCCCUAGCUGGUUUGAGAGGAUGAUCAGCCACACUGGAACUGAGACACGGUCCAGACUCCUACGGGAGGCAGCAGUGGGGAAUAUUGGACAAUGGGCGCAAGCCUGAUCCAGCCAUGCCGCGUGUGUGAAGAAGGCCUUAGGGUUGUAAAGCACUUUCAGUGGGGAGGAAGGGUGUUGUGUUAAUAGUACAGCACUUUGACGUUACCCACAGAAGAAGCACCGGCUAACUCCGUGCCAGCAGCCGCGGUAAAU